rnacentral:rRNA from 1 species
UACGUAGGGUCCGAGCGUUGUCCGGAAUUAUUGGGCGUAAAGAGCUCGUAGGCGGUUUGUCGCGUCUGCUGUGAAAUCCCGAGGCUCAACCUCGGGCCUGCAGUGGGUACGGGCAGACUGGAGUGCGGUAGGGGAGAAUGGAAUUCCUGGUGUAGCGGUGAAAUGCGCAGAUAUCAGGAGGAACACCGGUGGCGAAGGCGGGUCUCUGGGCCGAAAUUGACGCUGAGGAGCGAAAGCGUGGGGAGCAAACAGG